AGUGACAAUGAAGACUGAGGUGUCUGCUUUGCAGUUUUUUUUUUUCUUUUCUUGUCUUUUUUUUUUUUUUUCCUAAUCAUGUGGACAUCUCUGAGAAUGAGGGGACUGGGUGACUUUGCAGUGUCUGCUUUCUAAGUUUCAAAGUGACUUUCCAGGCAAGCUGCGCAUAUCUUGGGAUCUUCACAGCACAGUGGCUGGGAAGGCAGGCGGACCCGUCUAUCAGCUUCUCCCUGACAUCCAGCAAGAAGCAGCUCAAGGGUUUAUCUUGGCUCACAGUUUGAAGGUCCGACUCAUCAUGGCAGGACUUGGCGUUGGGUCAGAUGCCCUGUGGCUGUGUCAUGUGGAAUGCGAGGCUGCCUGCUCAUAUCUCAGCAGAUCCAGAGGGGACAAAGAAGAAGGCCACACCCACACGACUUCAGGUGGGAUUCUUGCGGGGGCAGGGAUCGAGUCAAACCUUGGAAAUGACGUCAUUCUGAACUCAUCUGCCUUUAUCCAGAAGACUACCAAAGCAAACCAGAGGACCAGAGAACAGCAGCUGCUCUGGACAAAGAGGGGAGGACACCCACACCCACAUACCAAGUUCUGGUUGACUUCUACAGCAGAAGAAGCAGGAGACACAAGAAGACUCAGAGGGACUGAAAUAUAAGAAGAUCGAUGCCAGAUGUUGUUGUGAUGACAACCUGUUGGGUUGAAGGACCCCAGGAAGACACAGUCCAGAUUCACAGGGACAGAGCCACUCACCUAUUGUCACAUGCAGCACAGAAUAAUGCAGAGGCAUGGCAUCAUAACAAUUCCUGAAUGGUGCUUCUCAGAAGAUGGUACUUCUUGGGGUCUGGUACCUGGACUAGUGAGGCUUCUCAGGGGAUGGGACCCCAACCCAGAAUGACAACAUCACCUGAUAACUUCAUCUUCAUCAUUAUCAUCAUCAUCAUCAUUGUUGUUAUUCCUUUUGUUUUGUUUUGAGAUUGUAAUAAAAUUAUAUCAUUUCUCCAUUGCCCU
rnacentral:lncRNA from 7 species